rnacentral:lncRNA from 1 species
AUCUAACAGGCUCAGGAACAGGCCAUCAGAAACACCUUUGAACAAACAGAGGCUCUAAUAACUGAUGUAAUAGAGAAAAGGGAAGAAUUCCACAGUUCAUCAACUGCAGUGCAGACGAUGGUGGAAAACAUGCCAGAAGUAAUCGCUCAGCUUCAAAAAAGUUUGAAGGUGGUCGAGUACAAGCACAAAGCAGCUGCUUUAUUGAUGAGCCACGUUCAAACACUGAUGGAUUCGAGCGACCAACACACUCAGAGGUCUGAGUGGAUCUACAGUAAUCACCGAGCAGCAACAACAGAGCAAGUGAAAAAGACGCAGGUAGAACAUGACUGUUUAUCAGCAUAUUUAUAGAAGAACGAUGAAAGAUUAUUCUUUAAACUCACUUUUUUAGAGCUUUGAGUUUUAAUAGUGGGACAAAAGACUGGCCUAUUGUUAGGCUUAUUCUUAUUAUUUUAAAGGUUUAGGCUGUAAAAACCAGAAAGAGGAACUAAGUUUGCUUUAUGAAACACAAACCUCUCGUGCAGUGAUGUUCUCAAGUUUGUAUUCAGUAUAUACAGUAUGUACUGCUUCAUUCCUUUCAGAAUAUUUUCACCGGUGUUUACUUGUUUGUUUGUCUGUUAGCAGGAUUACGUCAAAAGUACCUAAUUGAUUUUGACAUCUAUACUAUAAAGACAGAAAGGUGUGUGUGUGUGUAGCAAAUAUCUCCCUGAUGUGGUGUGAGUUCGACCUGAAACUUAGUCAAUGGCUUCCAAAUACCCUAAGUGUGUGUAUCUGUUAUUUUGGAGUAAUUUGGUGUAGCAAAAUGGUCAGAAUGUUAAUUUUAAGGUUUUCAGACAGAGGAAUGUAACGUUUCUGUCAGCGGAUGGGUUCACAACACGGCUCCACUAUGAUUAUUGCUUGUUCUGAGCAAGGGUGACUCUUUCUUCUUAUAUUAUUCUAUGUGCUAUGAAAGAUGCUAGCAGCUACUAUGUAAACACACACACAGCUGAUGCGCGUGUAUGCACUACACCGGGAUGAAAAUUCUGAACUCACACAAAGAGCCAUUUAGAGAGAGUUGCGACCUAAAUUACCGCCUCUGGUUUGCACACGCCGCAUGCCGGCGUGGCGGUCUGGCUGGGCCCUUGGGGGUGGGUGGGGCGGGGGGGUGAAAAAAAAAAAAAAACACUCACUUUACAGUAAUCAACUCUUCACCACCCUUCUAUUUCUCUACCUUGAAUCCCUCUUCCCUGCUCCCCUCCCCCCAUCCCCUCACCCAGGUGUAACACUGCCCUCUCUUUUUAUAUUCAACCUUUAAUAAAGCGUUUCUUCCCCUUCCUUUGGGAGGGCUG